CUGGGAACGCAGCCGCCUCCCUCCCCUCCUGUCCCUGGCCUGACCUUUUCCUUCUUGUUUUCCCUGAAAGCCUCAGAGAACCGUGAAAGCUCUGUAUGACUACAAAGCCAAGCGAAGCGAUGAGCUGAGCUUCUGCCGUGGUGCCCUCAUCCACAAUGUCUCCAAGGAGCCCGGGGGCUGGUGGAAAGGAGACUAUGGAACCAGGAUCCAGCAGUACUUCCCAUCCAACUACGUCGAGGACAUCUCAACUGCAGACUUCGAGGAGCUAGAAAAGCAGAUUAUUGAAGACAAUCCCUUAGGGUCUCUUUGCAGAGGAAUAUUGGACCUCAAUACCUAUAACGUCGGUACGUGCACACAUCAUCUUAGCCUGGAUUUCCACCCCUAUCCCCCAUGGGCUGACCUCAGCCCCGCCCUACACAGGGAGGUGGCUGACACAGGGUCCUGUCUUGAAUGCCAGCUCCUUCCCUGGCUGAAGCUGAGUAUUUAGGUCAGGCUGGUCAGUGAGUAUGAUGCUAUGUCUGCUAUUAAUCUCUACUAAAACUGUAAGUGCU
rnacentral:lncRNA from 1 species